CAUUUAUAUAAUUAAAUCUUACUUGACAUAUUGACAUAAUAACUUAAUUAAUAAAAAUCCUAUUAUCAUUUCUAAUUAACUCAUAAAACUAAUCAAGUCAUUUCAAUUCGAUACCAAUGCCAUAAAGGACUUCUACCAUUUUACUAAUAUAAUCAUCAAAACACAUAAUAUCUUACUUUACAACAAAACUAUAUAACAUACCAAAAUAGCUAUUAUAAUUCUUAUGUACAUGCCACUUUCAUUUAAGAAAGAAAACAUCACUGAAAUCUCUAUGCAGGAGUCAGGAUUGACCUGGAUGCUAAACCAAGACUCAGACCCCUUUUUCAACCUACGCACGGAAACAACUGUACGCUGAGUAUUUUAUACUCAGUGGUAUUACCAUAAUUCAAAUUAUAAUAACAAUAAAGAAUUAUAAUUACGAAGCAUGUAACUAUCUGAUUUCUUAAAUAUCAAUUAAUUCAUAAACUUUCAUUAUUUAACAAUAACAAUACAAUUUUUAGCUAUUCUUCAAUCUCAAUCACAUAUCACAUGUAGCAAUUUCAAUCACUACAUAAACAUUAAAUUCAUGCCUUUUAUUUUCAAUAUCAAUUUCAAUCUGCAAAUUUUAAGUUUUCUCAUAUUCAAUACCACAAUCGAUCAAAUUCAUUUGAUUUUCUCAUUUCAAUUAUUCACCCUAUUAACAAUCUGGACUUUGAAGGAUACACGGAUUCCAACCCAAACACACCAAUACGGCACAUUGUGCCUAAAACGGUACAUAGUACCUGAUCAGUAUACGACACAUAAGUGCCUGAAACGACAGACGAGGUGCCUGAUACGACACAUAAAGUGCCUGAGAUACGACACAUAAAGUGCCUGAUGUACGACACAUAAAGUGCCUAAUCGGCAAAGCUGAUAAAUCCCUUACUCUUCCAAAUCCUAUGGCAUGCCAACUAUAUCCCGACUUAGCCCGACUAGUUAAUAGGGUAUUCAAAUUCUCAAUUCACUUUCAUUUCCAAUUCAAGAUCAUUUUUCCACUUUCUAAUCAAUUAACAAUUUAAUACCAAUACAUAUAUCAAAUAAUCACAUAUAAUCAUAUUUCGAUUCAAUUCAAACCACUUUUCAAUCAAUACACAAUUCACAUACUCACACAUAUUCAUAAAUUAUUUCACUUUAUUUAAUUCAUAUUUUAAAUUCAUUUUCCAAUCAAAUUCAAAUCACUAAUUACUUUUCAAUCAAUAUACAUUUCAACUACUCACAUAUUUCCAUCAUUCGAUUCAAUUUGAUUCAAUUCAAAUCACUAUUAUCACUUCAAUUGCUUACCUAAUUUUACUUACCAUGCAUUUUAAUUAAAAUAUAACAAUUAAUAAUAACUAAAUUUGAAUUAUAGUAAUACAAACCCGAAUUUGCUCGAUUAUUCCUCAACGACCUUCUCCUUCCCUUUUUGUGCCGAUACCUCGAAUUCUUUAUUAGCUACGAAAAUUAAAUAAUUAAUUACAACACAAAUUUUACAAUAAAAAUAAAAUUUCUAUCAAAUUUUAUACUUUAAUUCCAAUUUAAUCCUAACUAGAUUUAUCUACUUUUCUAAUUUAAUUCACACUCUAUUUCUAUUCAAAUUUCUUCUAAACUCAAAUUUAUCUACUAAUUUUUCAGCAUUUUUCACUAAUUUCGAAUUUUCCUCAAUUUAAUCGCUAAAAUUCAAAACUUAUAGUUUAGUUUACAAUUCAAUCCUUUAUUCAAUUCCAAAUAAAAUCUCUAUCAAAUAAAUCCUCAAUUCCAUCAUUUAUUCAACAUAAACCCUACUCAAAAAUCUAUUAACUUUCAAAUUUUCAACUUAAAUCCAAGAGUAUUUCACUCUAGGAUUCCAAAAACAUCAAAUUUAUGAGAAAAUGACUUGAUUUAGCUUACCUAUUAAGCUUCAAAAUCUCAAUUUUCCCCCUUUCUUUUCUUUCCCUUUUUCUUCCCCUGUUUUCGUCUCUUUCUCUGUUUCUUUUCUGUUCUUCUUCUCUUUUUCUAUUCUUUUAUUUCAUUUGUUUUCUUUUACUUUUUGUUAUAAUAAUAUAACAUAUAAUAAUUAAAAUAAAUAUCUUUUACCACACAUGUCAUAUUCAUAACCAUACAUUUGUCUUAAUCUUAUUU
rnacentral:lncRNA from 1 species